rnacentral:lncRNA from 1 species
GUUUUGGAAACUGGGUCUUUAUAGAUAGAGUUGUUGACAUUGUACUGCUUAGACUUGGCUCUAAACUAAAGGACUUGUGACCAUCUAAGAAGGACGAAGGACACAGAGAUGUGUCAAGGAAGAAGGCCUAAUGAAGUGGAGUUGAUACCUUGUAUCAGAAACAGAUGUGAAUGGUACCUGGGUCAUCUCAUCCAUCCUUUAAAUGACUAACUUUAUAAAAUAGAAAUCCACCUCAGAAAUUUGAAAGUGAAGUUCUUAUUGGUUGAUGAAGUUUUUACCUGAUUGCUUAAUCAGGUAAGAAGGCUGUGCUGCAAACACGACUUCAUUUUGAAUUUGAAAAGCUUACACUAUUAUGGAAGAGGAAAGACACCUUUUAUGGGCAGCUGCUGAAGUAGUCCUUCUCCAGACCCAGACUUCCUUCAGGCCUAUGCUUGCCUUUGUUCUGUGAUUUGUUCUGUAUUCCUAGUUUUGUGAUCUUUGAAGACCAAAAGUCAAGAAUCUCAUUCUGCUGACUCCUGGCACACAAAAGCCACUGAGAAGACUAAACUGACUGUGCCUGUCUCAAUUUCAUUUAAACAUUACCCAGGGCUGAUGGGAAAGAAGAACGUUCAAAGAUGGACACACCCCAAUGAUCAAAGUCCAAAUUGUGCUACCCAGACUUCACCAAAAUUCUUAUUAAAAACUGUAGACAGUGCCGCA